GAGAUCUACGGGAGGCAGCAGUGGGGAAUAUUGGGCAAUGGGCGCAAGCCUGACCCAGCAACGCCGCGUGAGGGAUGAAGGUCUUCGGAUCGUAAACCUCUGUCAGCAGGGAAGAACGGUCACUGUGCUAAUCAGCAGUGAAUUGACGGUACCUGCAAAGGAAGCACCGGCUAACUCCGUGCCAGCAGCCGCGGUAAUACGGAGGGUGCGAGCGUUAAUCGGAAUUACUGGGCGUAAAGCGCUCGUAGGCGGCACGGCAAGCCUGAUGUGAAAGCCCGCGGCCCAACCGCGGGACUGCAUUGGGA
rnacentral:rRNA from 1 species